UGACCUGGAAUGGUGUGUAACAGCAAUCCCUUAUUUAGCUUUGCGACCGUAUCCAGGCCA
rnacentral:pre_miRNA from 1 species